AGCGAACGCUGGCGGCAGGCCUAACACAUGCAAGUCGAGCGGCCGUAGCAAUACGGCAGCGGCAGACGGGAGAGUAACACGUGGGAACGCGCCCUUCGGUUCGGAAUAACUCAGGGAAACUUGGGCUAAUACCGGAUACGCCCUUACGGGGAAAGAUUUAUUGCCGAAGGAACGGCCCGCGUCCGAUUAGCUUGUUGGUGAGGUAACGGCUCACCAAGGCGACGAUCGGUAGCUGGUCUGAGAGGAUGACCAGCCUCACUGGGACUGAGACACGGCCCAGACUCCGACGGGAGGCAGCAGUGGGGAAUAUUGGACAAUGGGCGCAAGCCUGAUCCAGCCAUGCCGCGUGGGUGAUGAAGGCCCUAGGGUUGUAAAGCCCUUUCGGCGGGGAAGAUAAUGACGGUACCCGCAGAAGAAGCCCCGGCUAACUUCGUGCCAGCCGCCGCGGUAA
rnacentral:rRNA from 1 species